AGUCGUCAUAUUAUGUGCAGCAGU
rnacentral:miRNA from 1 species